UAAUACUGAAAAGGAUUUCUUGCUGGACUUCCAUGCCGGCGUAAGAAGAACAGUUUAGAACUGAUAGAGCUAUCCAGUAUAAUAAUAAAGUUAGUUUAGUUAAGGUUUUUUCGUUUAGUAAUACUGAAAAAUAAUAGAUGGCCAGCUUACUAUAGUUAGACCCCUAGGAAGAACACUUUAGAAUAGAUUGAGCUAUGUUGAGUAUAAAUUAAUCAAGAUUAGUCAAAAUUUCGUUUCGCUUGUCAUAAAACCACAUGGAACCCGAUUAUGAUCGAUAGCCUAUCAGUUUUACUAGAUUGCUCCCCAUUGAAGUUCAGUUAGGGCCCAUCCUCUUACCAGCCAAGUCUUAUUUCGUAUAAGAAGGAACCUAAACUGAUUUAUACUGGAUAGCUCUAUCAGUUCAAAACUGUUCUUCGUAUAUAGGUCCAGUAAGGAUCAUCUCUCAUUGAUCCAGUGUUACUAUAGGAAGAGACCUGAACUAAACUAA